GUGAGAGUGUGUGUGCGUGUGUCUCUACUUUAGUGAGCAAAGGGAUACUGAGGAGUCACACACUCUAAAUCCAGCACAGACAGGUGUGUGUUGAGUGGUGUGUGUGUGUGUGUGUGUGUGUGUAGGUGUAGGUGUGGGUGUGGGUGUGUGUGUUUCUAUGUGUAUCUGAGUGUGUGCGUUGUGGUGUGUGUGUAUGUGUAUAUGAGUGUGUGUGGUGUGUGUGUGUAUAUGUGUACAUGAGUGUGGUGUGUGUGUGUGUGUGUGUGUGUAUGUGUGUAUAUGAGUAUGUGUGGUGUGUGUGUGUAUGUGCACAUGAGUGUGGUAUGUGUGUGUGUGUAUGUGUAUGUGAGUGUGUGCGCGCACAUGAGUGUGUGUGUGUCUCUACUCCAGUUAGCAGAGGGACACUGAGGAGGAGUUCCACAC